rnacentral:rRNA from 1 species
AUACGUAGGGGACGAGCGUUGUCCGGAAUUACUGGGCGUAAAGGGCGCGCAGGCGGAUAUUUAAGUCAGCUGUAAAAGGCAUGAGCUCAACUCAUGUAUGCGGUUGAAACUGGGUAUCUAGAGUGCUGGAGAGGUAGGCGGAAUUCCCGGUGUAGCGGUGAAAUGCGCAGAUAUCGGGAGGAAUACCGGUGGCGAAGGCGAAUUACGGGCCGAAAACGGACGCUGAGGAACGAAAGCUAGGGCAGCGAACGGGAUUAGAUACCCCGGGUGUCCUAGCCGUAAACGAUGGAUACUAGGUGUGAGUGUCGCAGGGCAUCCGUGCCGCAGUUAACGCGUUAAGUAUCCCGCCUGGGGACUACGGUCGCAAGACUGAAACUCAAAGGAAUUGGCGGGG